CUCAGUCCUCUCACCCUGUCUUCACUGCUGCUCCGUGGAGGAAUCACCGGGACGAGUCUCUCCAUGGCUGCUGGGAUCAGCUGAGGGUCCAGUAGAAGAGGAGGGAGCUUCCACAGUGCUGAGUAAAAAAAACCUGGUGGAAGCAUGAAACAUGAGUCCAGAAAGAACUGAGUCAGUUUCAGGGCGGAGCCGGACAAAGGGGCGGAUCCAGGAAUUCCAAAAUACAAGAGACAAACUUCAUAAUAGAAACACUCCACAGAUCAAGAAUUAUUGGGCUGAAACUUCAAUGACUGUAUGAAAGUAAGUUUCCCUGUGACUGAGCUGGUUGAGAUCCAGUCGAGCGUCGUGCCGCAGAGCAGAGAGAUGCACGGAACAGCAAGAGGCCUGAGUCCUGAGCGUUAGUGAGGGGGCCGAGGUGAACGGUGCAAACACCUGUCACAAUAAAACACACACAGGCUCAGAGACGUGGAACCUGCAGGACAUCCCUUUUAAUAAAAGCACUAAAUAUUGUUAUAAAUACUGAUAUUGACUGAGGUGGGGAAGGUUCAUCUUGUUGCAUGUAAAUCAACAUCAUUUAAAAAGUCACUCAACUCAAACCUGGAAGUAUCAACCUGCAGUAUCUACAUCACAGCAUAAAACACUAACAUGUCUAUAACAGCCGGCUCAUUAAGCUAAACGUACGAUAUCUAUAUGAAGAUAUACCAUCUUAUGAUUAUUAUUAUUACUUAAACAUUGCAGCAGUAACCUGACGUACAGCUCCCCCUUCUGGUACUCUGGGCAAAACGCUUUUUACAACACAUUGUUUCAUAUACAAUCAUUCAUAUCAUAUCAUCAUACAUUACAUUUCCUUACAUUUCAUUGAGCUGACGCUUUUAUCCAAAGCGACUUACAAUAAGUGCAUCAACCAUGAGGAACAAACCCAGAACAAGAAGAAUCAAGAAAGUACAAUUUUCUUACAAAUAACACGUCACCAUUGUAAUGUAUAAGAAUAACAGCUGGAUCAGAAGAACAUGAAGAUACAGUAUAAAAUAUUCCAGCUUUUGGACGACAAACUUCAAGAAUCAAUAAAAUGGCUGAAAACUGGUUAAAUCCAGUCCACACGAUAAAAGUGACUUUUUAUAUCAAACUUUACAGACUGUCGGGCCUUGGCAGUGGUUUAAACUAAAUCACAGUUUCCUCUGGGAAUGUUCCCACCUUUGUUUCUUUUCUAUCUAAUGAGAAUCACAUUAUUACGAGUGACUUUGUUUUCACAGCAGAAAGUUGUAACAAAUGAUUCCUAAUAUAAAUAUAUCGAUGUCAAAUGUAA